rnacentral:rRNA from 1 species
GACAGCAGCAGCCACGGUAAUACGUAGGUCCCGAGCGUUGUCCGGAUUUAUUGGGCGUAAAGCGAGCGCAGGCGGUUAGAUAAGUCUGAAGUUAAAGGCUGUGGCUUAACCAUAGUACGCUUUGGAAACUGUUUAACUUGAGUGCAAGAGGGGAGAGUGGAAUUCCAUGUGUAGCGGUGAAAUGCGUAGAUAUAUGGAGGAACACCGGUGGCGAAAGCGGCUCUCUGGCUUGUAACUGACGCUGAGGCUCGAAAGCGUGGGGAGCAAACAGGAUUAGAUACCCCUGUAGUCCCUGUCUCUUAUACA